rnacentral:rRNA from 1 species
AGAAUCAACGCUGGCGGCGUGCCUAACACAUGCAAGUCGAACGAGAAAGUGGGAGCAAUCCCACGAGUAAAGUGGCGCACGGGUGAGUAACACGUGACUAACCUACCCUUGAGUGGGGGGAUAACCUAGGGAAACCUGGGCUAAUACCGCAUAAUACCUACGGGUCAAAGGAGCAAUUCGCUUUAGGAGGGGGUCGCGGCAGAUUAGUUAGUUGGCGGGGUAAUGGCCCACCAAGACAGUGAUCUGUAUCCGGCCUGAGAGGGCGCACGGACACACUGGAACUGAAACACGGUCCAGACUCCUACGGGAGGCAGCAGUGGGGAAUUUUGCGCAAUGGGGGAAACCCUGACGCAGCAACGCCGCGUGGAGGAUGAAGCCCCUUGGGGCGUAAACUCCUUUCGAUCGGGAAGAUAAUGACGGUACCGGAAGAAGAAGCCCCGGCUAACUUCGCGCCAGCAGCCGC